rnacentral:rRNA from 1 species
GUUGUAUAGUCAAGUAAUGAAGUGCACAUGGUGGAUGCCUUGGCAGUCAGAGGCGAUGAAAGACGUGACAGCCUGCGAAAAGCGUCGGGGAGGCGGCAAUAUCCUGUGAUCCGGCGAUAUCUGAAUGGGGAAACCCACCUACCAUAAGGUAGGUACCCCGCUAUAUUUUAUAGCGGGGGGCAAACCGGGAGAAGUGAAACAUCUCAGUAACCC